GUGCUGUGAUGCAAUUAUCAACACAUCAUUCUGAAAACUUGUGUGGAAGAUUUUUUGACUGAGCACA
rnacentral:snoRNA from 1 species